CACACACACACACACACACACACGUCUAUAUCCGUGCGCGCGCGCUACCUGCUGGCGCGCCGCACCGCCGACGACCUGCUGUGGCCGCUGCUGCAGCACAAGCUGCAGGUGCUGAACGACGUCGGGCUCAGUCGGGACACGUUUGAAAAUACUUCGACUAGCCACCAGGACAGCAAAAACCACAUAUCCCAAUACCUAAGCCCGACGCUCAAGAAUAAAAACGACUAUAUCCCAGGCACAAACAUACGGAAAGAUUCGAUAAAAAGUAACAAAGACAAUUCGAACUCUACGAGUGAUAGUAAUAAGACUGAUGAUGAAAUAAGUUUGUUAAAUGAUGAAAAGUUGAUUGGAGAAUUCUGUGAGAAUGGUGAUGAGUCGUUUUUCGAUGAAGAAGGUGAUGAGUUGUUAGCGAAUAUUGAUUUAUGAUAUCGAGAUCAUUUUACAGUGCUUCAGCUAGAUAAUAAUAACUUUCAAUAAAAAAUAUAUUUAAAUCUUACAAACCCAUCGAUGUUGCUAUCUAUAGACCUAUAAUAUCGCAAAAACAAUGUCCAAAACAAACAAAUUCGUCCGUCCAUUUAAGAAUGGAUCUUAAAUAUAUCACAAUAAAGCACACAAUCCUCAAAUAAAAAACUCUGCUCAUUGUGUGCUUUAUUGCAAUUCAUUAGAAUCCAUUUUUGAAUGGUAGACAUCUGUAGAACGUAUAAUUUUUUUUGUUUGAUUUUUCACUCAUCUGUAAAUCUAGUAUAAAGAUAAAAAAACAGGCGAUGUAAAAUUCCUAUUCAGCAAGCUUUUUUGUACCAUUGGAUUUUUUUUUGAUUUUUGUAGAUGCUUUUGUACUUACAUUAAAAAUCCAGUAA
rnacentral:lncRNA from 1 species